AUUAACAUUCCGCCUGGGGAGUACGGUCGCAAGAUUAAACUCAAAGGAAUAGACGGGGACCCGCACAAGUGGUGGAGCAUGUGGUCUAAUUCGAAGAUACGCGAAGAACCUUACCUGGCCUUGACAUUGAUAGAAUCUGCUAGAGAUAGCGGAGUGCCCUUCGGGGAGCUUGAAAACAGGUGCUGCACGGCUGUCGUCAGCUCGUGUCGUGAGAUGUUGGGUUAAGUCCCGCAACGAGCGCAACCCUCGUCACUAGUUACUAACGGUUCGGCCGAGGACUCUAGUGAGACUGCCUUCGUAAGGAGGAGGAAGGUGAGGACGACGUCAAGUCAUCAUGGCCCUUACGGCCAGGGCGACACACGUGCUACAAUGGGAUGUACAAUGAGACGCAAUACCGCGAGGUGGAGCAAAUCUAUAAAGCAUCUCUCAGUUCGGAUUGUAGUCUGCAACUCGACUACAUGAAGCUGGAAUCACUAGUAAUCGUAGAUCAGCCAUGCUACGGUGAAUACGUUCCCGGGUCUUGUACUCACCGCCCGUCACACCAUGGGAGUUGAUUUCACCCGAAGCGGGGAAGCUAAACUGGCUACCCUCC
rnacentral:rRNA from 1 species